rnacentral:misc_RNA from 1 species
UAUUAGCACAUACUAGUACAUAAACCUUUUGAACGACAAUAAGAUUUGAUAUCUGAUUUGAAUGCCCACUGUUGGCACCGCAAAAGUUGAGCAUCAACACCAUCUUCUAUAACUGGAUGUUCUAUCACUUGUAAAUGAUUUGUAAUGCAUGGUGAAUCUGAUGUGUUUCCUCCUACUAUCUAGAGCAGGGGUUUUAAAGCUUAGACCCAGUCAAUUCUUUAAAAUAGAACAUGACUUCCCACCCAUAAAACAAACCUAGAAAUGUAUAGCAGCUUUCAAAAUAGUGCCAGCAUAUGUGCUUUAAAUAUAUCAAACACAUAUUAAAUCCAUACAGGAACUUAAAUUUACAAAAUUUCAAGCAGUGUUUUCAUUUAAUUCUUCCUUUCAUCAUUGACAUGUCAACAAAGCCUAGAAAUUGCAUAAUCCCUCAGUUCUAAUAUAUAUACCCAAAAAAAGAUAAUAAAAUUUGGCGACAAAAGCUUCUUGAAAUAUUUCAUUUUAUGGCACAAAAAAAAGAAAAGAAAUAUUUCAUUUUACGCGCACACACGCCUAAAUCAAACAAAGAUCCAUAAUAUCCAUAAUAUGCAUACCAUGUCACCUCUUUCUGGCUUCUAAAUAGAUAGAGAACCAUUUCACCACGCUAAGGAUCUUUGUCCAUCUCAUCUGGGCCUUUUUAAUCAUGUUAUCUGUGUCAAUCAAGGGCUCCACAAGGCCUGGUUUACUCCAUAUCUUACUGUGUAGUCCUAAGUAAUUAGAGGUGCAUAUCACGAUAAAGGUCUUUCUCCAUCUCUUCCUGGCCAUCAACCAAUCCCUUGGCUGCCAUCAACCAAAUCACAGAGAGGGUAGCUCAAUUUAACAGAUUGGGAAAUGUUGAAUAUAAAGAAUAAAAAACCAUUGCGAUUAUAAUUUCUUCUAAUGCAAAAAAUCUCUGUUGUCAUCGAAGUAAAUGAACAGAGAAAUCUAUCCAAGCCUGAUGGCUUGGUUCAAAUUCAGGUAAAAUUGAUCUAACCUUGCCAUCUAAACGAAAAUUGUCUGUUUCGUCCUUCAAAUGAAUGUGAUCAUCCCACCAACUUUGUUGAGGAUCAAUGUAAUCAGGGAGUUCAUUGCAAUUUUCUAGAUCAAUUGGUGUCAAGCAUUGCUCUUCCCAAGGUCGAAAUAUUUCCAUGAUCUUAGCAUUCAUUAUUGUGUAUACAAAAUUGUCAUGUGAUGCAGUCUUUAUUGCCCCAUUCAUCAUCUUUCUUCGUGCAACUUCAAAUGCACUAGGCUUUAGGUCACAUGAACACUUACAAGGCUGGCUCAAAAGUCGUAUCGCAUACUUCUUUAGCACUGGAAGGCAGACCCCAGUAGCAUCCCACCAUGCACAAGGAUGAGACACUUGCAGCAAGUCGUAUGCCAAUGUAUUGAACAUCAGUGGCAUCUUUUGUUCAUAAAGUUUCACCUCUUCAACGAAUUUGUCCUUAUCUUGACUCGCCACCAUUGUUGAGAAAAUAAAUUUUAUGCCUGUCUUCAUUUCAGAGUUAAGUUCGAAGCCGUCGCGGCACAUGUAAGAUGGAUUCAGAAAAGCAGCAGCUGCGUGUAUUGGAUGGAUAAUCUUUUUACUUCUCCAUUCUUGAAAUAAAUCCCUUAUCUUUUCAUACUUCGUGCAGUCAUUACUAUAUUGUCUCUCAAUUGUUUCUUUUGCUUUUUCCAUUGCUUCAUACAAGUAUCCCAAGGUAGGUCUAUCAUCUUCUACUAAACGAAGUACAUGGAUUAAUGGCUCCAUAACAUUUAGUACCUCUUGCACUUGGCUCCAAAAUUUUCCACUUUCAAUAAUGUUUGUAUUCUUGAUUUUUUUCCUGUUCUGUUCCAGCAGCUUCCACUUCCCACAUUCAAGUUGUCGCAAUUCAUUCUUAUUGCCCAAAAUUGAUAGCAGCAUUUGAUAGUUGGAGGCAAAUUUAGACUCGCAAGGAUAUUUCAACUUCGAAAAAAUGUCAUCUUCAUACAUACAUUUUACCACCAAUGCUGCAUGAUCAAUUGUUUCUUGUAUCCAUCCAACUUCACUGUAUAUAGCUUUCAUGAGAGAAUGAAUCUCAUGAGCAACACACCGAAUCUGGCAUAUAUGAGAGUACUUAUUCAGAAGCAGAUUCUCAAUUGAAUAAUAAAUUGUAUCACUGUUCGUGAUAACUUGGACCACAUGAUCUUCCCCGAUGUCGUCAAUUACAGAGGAAACAAUGUCUUUCACAUCCAAUUUUGAAAUUUCCUGGAAUUUCAAAAACUCAGCUCCUUCAGCAGAAUAUGCGGUGAUACUAAUGAAGUUAUUCCACAUGCCAAUCAUUAUUGUGCAACCUUGCAUAGUCCAUGAAUGCCUCACUUUCGUAACAUAUUUCUCAACUUCCAUCUCAACUUCAAGAAAAGCAUUUCUUUGGAGCAUUAGAGAACUAGGCAGCUUAUAACUAAUGCCACAUUCAGCUACUCCCCUCACAAAAUCAACAAAAAAUGGUGCUUCAACAAUAUCAAAUGCAAUAUUGUUAGAGAGAAUGAAUAGGGCAAGUUUUUCAUUAACCACACUAUCAGCCAUUCCGCUUACUUUGUAUUGAUGCCUAACCUUUGAAAAAUACGAGCAAGAAGUUGAAUAACAUUCAUUGUCUUCUGCUUCACCUAGACCACUUUCAACUUCAACACGCUUAGAAUUGGAACUUGCAGAGUCAUCCCAAUCUUCAACACAUUCUUCCGCAUUAUUUGGUAACUGACGUUUUCUCCGAACCAUAUUAGCUGGGGACAGAGAGGACCGAGAAUUUGAUCCACCGAGAUGCAAUUCGUCGUCGUUUGAGCUGUAGGAGAACGAGGCACAAGCGGAGACAGAGAGAGGGAGAGAGUAAAACUAAACAGACUUAAGUCCUAAUUUAAUUAUAAUUUGGAACUGCAAUUGCAAAGUGCGGAAACAACCGACAUUCAUAAGUCAUUAUUUAUAGGUAAAAGAAAGCUGCGAUGACGGAGAAGAAAGUCACGACAUGUAGGAGAAGCUGAGCGCAUGAAAGAGACAGGCUGGUAUAUAUUUUAAUUUCAA